AACGUCGGAGGCGAGCGUGAUCCGGCUUUACUGGGUGUAACGCGCGUGCAGGCGGUCGUGUAAGUGGUGCGUGCAAGCUCCCGGCUCAACCGGGAGAGGACGUGCCAAACUGCAGGGCUAGAGGCAGGUAGAGGCGUGUGGAAUUCCGGGUGUAGUGGUGAAAUGCGUAGAGAUCCGGAGGAACACCAGUGGCGAAGGCGACACGCUGGGCCUGGCCUGACGCGCAGACGCGAAAGCAUGGGGAGCGCACGGGAGGAGAUACCCCCGUAGUCC
rnacentral:rRNA from 1 species